CAUAAAGUUAUAAACACGCAUAAAAUAGAAAUAAAAAGAUACAUAAUGAGAUCCUUGAGGCUGAUGCUGUGAGACUAAAUAUUCGAAAACUGGGGGGCGGUAAGGAAUUUUUUCAUCAAGAAAGAUGCAUUAGUGGGUGGUAGGUAUGAAAAGGUUGACUACUCCUGGUGUAGAUGAUCUCAGCCAAUCCAAUGAACUGUGUUCUUAAAAUGGCUAUUUCAAUCAGAUGGUGUCAUAGGAAAAGAGUUUAUCACCUCUACUGUCUGUCAGGGAAACACACUAGAAACAUAUUACCCCAGCAUUAUAAACAUUACAGUUUCUGCAGAAUAGCAAUUUUUCAGUGGCAAGAUUAAAACUACAGGGACAUGAAGUUGUCCGGG